rnacentral:rRNA from 1 species
UGGGGAAUUUUGGACAAUGGGCGAAAGCCUGAUCCAGCAAUGCCGCGUGUGUGAAGAAGGCCUUCGGGUUGUAAAGCACUUUUGUCCGGAAAGAAAUCCUUGGCUCUAAUACAGUCGGGGGAUGACGGUACCGGAAGAAUAAGCACCGGCUAACUACGUGCCAGCAGCCGCGGUAAUACGUAGGGUGCAAGCGUUAAUCGGAAUUACUGGGCGUAAAGCGUGCGCAGGCGGUUUGCUAAGACCGAUGUGAAAUCCCCGGGCUCAACCUGGGAACUGCAUUGGUGACUGGCAGGCUAGAGUAUGGCAGAGGGGGGUAGAAUUCCACGUGUAGCAGUGAAAUGCGUAGAGAUGUGGAGGAAUACCGAUGGCGAAGGCAGCCCCCUGGGCCAAUNCUGACGCUCAUGCACGAAAGCGUGGGGAGCAAACAGGAUUAGAUACCCUGGUAGUCCACGCCCUAAACGAUGUCAACUAGUUGUUGGGGGAUUCAUUUCCUUAGUAACGUAGCUAACGCGUGAAGUUGACCGCCUGGGGAGUACGGUCGCAAGAUU